GUCAGGCUGAGAAAUGCUGAUACUGUGAUAACACAUCACCUCUACUCAGAGAAUCCUCCCUGCGAGGCAGGAUUCCUGGGGCUCAGACACACCCCGGCUGGCGAGGUGUCUGCUCCUCCUUGUUCCCAUGAUGCCCCAGAGGAGCCAAGGCCAAGAGGAGCCAAGCCCAGAGCAGCUCGUGUCCACAGAGGCUGUGAGGAGCUGACAGGGAGAGGAGGUUGCUGCACCUGCUUCAGCCAUGUCACCACCAUCUACCGUGUGUGCUCUGUGCCAGAAUGGGCGGGGGGAAAAUACCUCUCGGAAACGUUCUGUGUCCCAUCAGUAACUGUAGCAUGUACAGUUCCUGACUUGGAACUAGGCUGUAGGCAGCAAUUUCUAAAAUUACCCUGAGAUGAACUGCAUGUGUCCCCCCACAAUUUGUAAGUUGAAAUCCUAAGCCCGCAAUGUGAUGGUAUUAGGAGGUGGGGCCUUUGGGAGGUGAUUAGGUCAUCGGGGUGGGGGCCUCAUGAGUGCACAAGUGUCCUUGUAAAAGAGACCCCUGAGAGCUCCUCUGGCCCUUCCACUACUUGAGGAUGCAGCGAGGAGGCAGAAAUCUGCAGCUGGGAAGAGGACCCCCACCAGAAUCUGACCAUGCCGGCACCCCGAUCUUGGACUUCCAGACUCCAGAACUGCAAGAAGGAAACUUCUGUCGUUUAUAAGCCAUGCAGUCUGUGGUGCUUUGUCGCAGAAGCCCUAAUGGACUAAGAUGUACCCGGUUUUCCCCAUGGGUCCAUGUUCUGAAAGAUUUUCUACACCGUAUAGUAACAACAACGAUGGCGACAAUGACAACAAUAACAAUAGCUGUCACCGAUGAGGCACCUUCCGGGUGAAUGUCACCUAUGCUGUCCCACCCAGUCCCCCCCACAGUCCUGAGAUGACGGUGACGCAGCAUCUCCGCCCCCAUUUUGCCUGAUGAGGAAACGCAAGGCGUAGAGAGGCUCAGUAGUUUUCCAAGCCCCUGCAGCCAAUAGGAACUAAAGGCAGGAGUUGAAUUCAGCUCUCUCUAAAUUGAGCCUGGUUUUUCCACUAUGUUACACUCUUCUUCAGAAACACAAAUUAAUGAGCGGGCUGUGGUGGCUCAUGCCUGUAAUCCCACUUUAGGAGUCUGAGGCAGGAGGAUUGCUUGAGGUCAGGAGUUCGAGACUAGCCUGGGCAACAUAUUGGAACCCCGUCUCUACCGAAAAACAAACAAACAAACAAAAAACCCUCAAAAAACACAAAAAGCACCAAUUAAGUUAUAAUAAUAACAAUAAUAUUCAAACUACAUUAUUCAAUCCUAAAUCCUUUUACUUUCCAUUGUGAAAGGAUUAGUUACAUAAACCGGCUGCUCUUAGUUACCGCACUCUGUUGCUAUGAUUCUGACAUAUUGGUUCAUUUCUGCAAUGCUAUUGUGGAUAUACUGAAAUACUGAAAAUAUACUUAAGGUUCUGCUCACUAGCUUUUUAUCCGUCAAGUUAUUCUUUCCCUAAAAUUCAGGUGAAAUUCAUAUGACACAUAGCUAACCAUUU
rnacentral:lncRNA from 1 species